CACGAGUUCACGUUCAAUAGCCACAGAGAUGACGAGCCCCUAACAGCAGCAAACUCUUAAAGCACCUCAGCUGUAUACUACAAAAAUGCCAGACAACACCUGCAGUCCUGCAUUCAGAAGCAGAACAGUCUUCACGGCCGGCUCCACUAGGCGAGCCCUAAUCAGCGACAACAAGCAGAUAAAAUUAAACCAAAAUUCAAGGCUAUUUAAAGUAGCCUUAAAGCAUCAAACCUUUUUGACUUAGCAUCUUAGUACAACGUACCGACACUCCGCGCGCAGCAGCCCUCAGCACGCUCCCAGAAACGAGCGCCACCUGCCGCGCUCCUGCAUAGACAACCCACCCUACCACCGAGCAGGCUGCGGCCCGGUUCUACUUGUAGGAGCGUUGGCGCGAACGCUCGAAGCGGCUCAGGUAGCCCCGCCCCUCCCCGUCGCCAUCCUCGGCCCCGCCCCUCGAGAGGAUGGAGGGGGCCGUGGCCGGCGUGGUGCCGGGAAGAGGAAGCGCUGGAACGCUCUCGGGCGGCGGCGGCAGGCGGGGUCACGAACUCUGACCUUUCACAGGGCCCUGAAAAAUAACACAGAACUCCCCCCCCUUACCCCUCCCCCCACACACACUCCCCCCCCCACCUAAUAAUACAGUUCCACCCCUUCUAUCCCUCUGCGGACCCCUGUUAAGCUCCCACUGCCGCCGCCCCUCGUGGGGAAGUUUGGGCCGUCUCCGGGCACCGCCACCAACGCCGGCUGGCCCGCCCGGGCCCGGUUCAGGGGCACUGCCGGGGCACGUUUGGCGCCAAUUCCUGAGGUUUUCUAAUGAUCUUGCUUCGCCAUGGCAACCAAUAUGGAGGUGCUGGCUCAGCAGGUAAUGGAGACUCAGCAGGUGGCUGAGGAAAUGCACCGUGGUAACAUAGUGUGAUGGUUGUAUCUUGCCACUGGAGAGAUCUCUUCAUCCCAAGAAUUUAUGAAGCUCUGUGAUUUCUU
rnacentral:lncRNA from 1 species